rnacentral:rRNA from 1 species
CGCGGCCUAUCAGCUUGUUGGUGGGGUAAUGGCCUACCAAGGCGACUACGGGUAGCCGGCCUGAGAGGGUGGACGGCCACAUUGGGACUGAGAUACGGCCCAGACUCCUACGGGAGGCAGCAGGGGGGAAUAUUGCACAAUGGGCGAAAGCCUGAUGCAGCGACGCCGCGUGAGGGAUGACGGCCUUCGGGUUGUAAACCUCUUUCAGCAGGGAAGAAGCUUUUGUGACGGUACCUGCAGAAGAAGCACCGGCUAACUACGUGCCAGCAGCCGCGGUAAUACGUACGGUGCGAGCGUUGACCGGAAUUAUUGGGCGUAAAGAGCUUGUAGGCGGUUUGUCGCGUCUGCUGUGAAAAUUCUCGGCUUAACCCUGGACGUGCAGUGGGUACGGGCAGACUAGAGUAUGGUAGGGGAGACUGGAAUUCCUGGUGUAGCGGUGGAAUGCGCUCAUAUCAGGAGGAACACCGAUGGGCAAGGCCCGGCUCUGGGCCAUUACUGACGCUGAGAAGCGAAGGCAUGGGGAGCGAACAAGAUUACAUACCCUGGCAGUCCAUGCCCUAUACGUUCGGCGCUAGGCGUCGUUCUCAUUCCAGCAGAUCCGUGUCCUAACUAACGCAUUACCCGCCCUGCCGGGGGAGUACGG